CUUCAGAGAACCCAACCACAACGGGCGCUCAGCCGGACGGCCCUGGCCAUAGGUCGCUUGCAGGGCUUGAGCCUC
rnacentral:antisense_RNA from 1 species